rnacentral:miRNA from 1 species
GUUAUGAACUUCCUCAGGGACCGCAAUAAAAUAAUCACAUGUAUAAAUACAAAGUAUAAAAUAUACUUUGUAUUUAUACAUGUGAUUAUUUUAUUGCGGUCCCUGAGUAAGUUCAUA